AAUACAUGCAAGUAGAACGCACAGGAUGCACCGUAGUUUACUACACCGUAUUCUGUGAGUUGCGAACGGGUGAGUAACGCGUAGGUAACCUGCCUGGUAGCGGGGGAUAACUAUUGGAAACGAUAGCUAAUACCGCAUAAGAACAUUUACUGCAUGGUAGAUGUUUAAAAGGUGCAAAAGCAUCACUACCAGAUGGACCUGCGUUGUAUUAGCUAGUUGGUGAGGUAACGGCUCACCAAGGCAACGAUACAUAGCCGACCUGAGAGGGUGAUCGGCCACACUGGGACUGAGACACGGCCCAGACUCCUACGGGAGGCAGCAGUAGGGAAUCUUCGGCAAUGGGGGGAACCCUGACCGACCAACCCCGCGUGAGUGAAGAAGGUUUUCGGAUCGUAAAGCUCUGUUGUUAAGGAAGAACGUGUGUGAGAGUGGAAAGUUCACACAGUGACGGUACUUAACCAGAAAGGGACGGCUAACUACGUGCCAGCAACCGCGGUA
rnacentral:rRNA from 1 species